UUUGUGCCGAGGAUCGCCCCACCAUCAAUCACGGAAGGUGGCCGAUGAUCUCCGCCCCAGCCUCCUCCCAUGCCGUCAAUGGAAGGUGGCCUCGGAUCCGCCCCAUCAGCGGCGAGGGAGGUACCGGUGCCAGUGGCGGCGGAGGGCGACGCUGAAGAGGCCGAUGGUGCGGAGGAGGAGGAGAGGGACCUGCGGGAGGCGUUCGACGUGUUCGACGGCAACAGGGACGGGCUCAUCUCCGCCGAGGAGCUCGGCACCGUGCUGCGCUCGCUCGCCUGCACCGGCAGGGCCGCCGCCGAUUGCCACGACAUGAUACGCCUCGUUACAAGGGCCCAUUCUUUGGUGGAAUCCGUCUGUCUCUCUCUUCUCCAUCCGUGACACGUCCAGCAGCUCUAUCGAGGUCGAGGACUAGCCGCCGCCGCCGCACCUGCACGCACGCCAAGGGAUGGGAGAGCGAGAGAGGGAUCCGAGGAGGUCAAAGAUGAUCUACCGCAAGUGGUCACUGCUCUCAUCGACGGUCGUCAUCUGGUGCGGCGUCGCCACCGCCGGCCUGGCCGGUAUCUUCCUCUUGGGCGGCAAGGAGAAAUUCAGUCAGUAGAGAGGCUUAGGCAGCAGGACAGAGCCACGAUCGGCAUGCAAAACUAGAGAGGAAGCAUAUCUGCUAAUAUAUCUACUUUGCCAUCUAAGCUCGGAGGUGAGAAGGUAGUUUAUGAUGCUACCAAGAAAAUCUUCUCAAGCUCCAGUGGUCUAGCUGAAGAUAUUCUAUUCUUAUUCACAGAUUGGUUGUCACUACUUAGAGAGAUUGUCAAUAUUGAAACAAGGGUACACACCUAAUUCUUUGUAUUCCUCUUGCAAUCAUCCA